rnacentral:rRNA from 1 species
GACGAACGCUGGCGGCGUGCUUAACACAUGCAAGUCGAACGGAAAGGCCCCUUUGGGGGUACUCGAGUGGCGAACGGGUGAGUAACACGUGAGUAACCUGCCCUUGACUUCGGGAUAACUUCAGGAAACUGGGGCUAAUACCGGAUAGGAAUCCUUGCUGCAUGGUGGGGGUUGGAAAGCUUCGGCGGUUUUGGAUGGACUCGCGGCUUAUCAGCUUGUUGGUGGGGUAGUGGCUUACCAAGGCUUUGACGGGUAGCCGGCCUGAGAGGGCGACCGGCCACAUUGGGACUGAGAUACGGCCCAGACUCCUACGGGAGGCAGCAGUGGGGAAUAUUGCACAAGGGGCGGAAGCCUGAUGCAGCAACGCCGCGUGCGGGAGGACGGCCUUCGGGUUGUAAACCGCUUUCAGCAGGGGCGAAGCUUGUGGUGACGGUACCUGCAGAAGAAGCACCGGCUAACUACGUG